CGCGGGGUGGAGCAGUCCGGUAGCUCGUCAGGCUCAUAACCUGAAGGUCGUCAGUUCAAAUCUGGCCCCCGCAACCA
rnacentral:tRNA from 2 species